rnacentral:rRNA from 1 species
AUUGAACGCUGGCGGAAUGCUUUACACAUGCAAGUCGAACGGUAGAGGGGGCAACCCCCUUGAGAGUGGCGAACGGGUGAGUAAUAUAUCGGAACGUGCCCAGUCGUGGGGAUAACGUAGCGAAAGUUACGCUAAUACCGCAUACGAUCUAAGGAUGAAAGCGGGGGGAUCGCAAGACCUCGCGCGAUUGGAGCGGCCGAUAUCAGAUUAGGUAGUUGGUGAGGUAAAGGCUCACCAAGCCAACGAUCUGUAGCUGGUCUGAGAGGACGACCAGCCACACUGGAACUGAGACACGGUCCAGACUCCUACGGGAGGCAGCAGUGGGGAAUUUUGGACAAUGGACGCAAGUCUGAUCCAGCCAUUCCGCGUGCAGGAUGAAGGCCCUCGGGUUGUAAACUGCUUUUGUACGGAACGAAAAGGUUUCUAUUAAUACUAGGUAGCUCAUGACGGUACCGUAAGAAUAAGCACCGGCUAACUACGUGCCAGCAGCCGCGGU